UAUUCUGCCCCAUGGGGAAGGAUGAGAAGCUUCGACUAAGGUUCGACUCGAGCGAAGCGAGAGAACGUUGCCGCAGGCAACGGCCCGAAGGCGAGGCGCUUUAGCGCCGAGUAAUCCUUCCCCCACCACUU
rnacentral:sRNA from 1 species